rnacentral:misc_RNA from 1 species
ACCGACGUUGGCGACUACGCGAUCAAGCUGCGCAAUCUGCGCCGCUUCCUCGACGAGGGCGACAAGGUCAAGAUCACCAUCCGCUUCCGCGGUCGCGAAAUGGCGCACCAGGAACUCGGCGACGCCAUGGUCAAGAAGAUCGCGGCGGAUAUCGCCGAAGAGGCGGUGAUCGAGCAAUACCCGCGCAUGGAAGGCCGCUUGAUGGUCAUGAUGAUCGCGCCGAAGAAGAACAAGUAGGAUUUUUGCCGGCGGAGCGAUCCGGCGGCGAAUGAGGAGAGGCCCGGGAAUCCGGGUCAUACACACCGGA